rnacentral:rRNA from 1 species
ACUGCUCAGUAACACGUGGAUAACAUGCCCUAAGGUGGGGGAUAAUCUCGGGAAACUGAGGAUAAUACCCCAUAGAUCUUGAAUGCUGGAAUGCUUCUAGGUCGAAAACUCCGGUGCCUUAGGAUUGGUCUGCGGUCUAUCAGGCUGUAGUGGGUGUAACGGACCCACUAGCCCGUGACGGAUAUGGGCCUUGAGAGAGGGUGCCCAGAGAUGGACUCUGAGACAUGAGUCCAGGCCCUACGGGGCGCAGCAGUCGCGAAAACUUCGCAAUGGGGGAAACCCCGACGAGGGAAUUCCAAGUGCCAGCACUUUGUGUUGGCUGUUCUUCUGUCUAAAAAACAGGAGAAGUAAGGGGCGGGUAAGACGGGUGUCAGCCGCCGCGGUAAUACCCGCGCCCCGAGUGGUGGUCGAUAUUAUUGAGCCUAAAACGUCCGUAGCCGGUCUUCUAAAUCCUUGGGUAAAUCGGGCAGCUUAACUGUCCGAAUUCCGGGGAGACUGGGAGACUUGGGACCGGGAGAGGUCAGAGGUACUUCUGGGGUAGGGGUAAAAUCCUGUAAUCCUGGAAGGACCACCGGUGGCGAAGGCGUCUGACUAGAACGGAUCCGACGGUGAGGGACGAAGCCCUGGGGCGCAAACGGGAUUAGAUACCCCGGUAGUCCAGGGUGUAAACGCUACUCGCUAGGUGUCGGCCACGGUGCGACCGUGGUCGGUGCCGUAGGGAAGCCGUGAAGCGAGCCACCUGGGAAGUACGGCCGCAAGGCUGAAACUUAAAGGAAUUGGCGGGGGAGCA